AGAAAAGGACCAGGCAGGAA
rnacentral:piRNA from 1 species